rnacentral:rRNA from 1 species
AACGAACGCUGGCGGCGUGCUUAACACAUGCAAGUCGAGCGGUAAGGCCCUUUCGGGGGUACGACGAGCGGCGAACGGGUGAGUAACACGUGGGUGACCUGCCCUCAGCUCUGGGAUAAGCCUGGGAAACUGGGUCUAAUACUGGAUAUGACUCCACGGUGCAUGUCGUGGGGUGGAAAGCCUUGUGCGGCUGAGGAUGGGCCCGCGGCUAUCAGCUUGUUGGUGGGGUGANGGCCUACCAAGGCGACGACGGGUAGCCGGCCUGAGAGGGCGACCGGCCACACUGGGACUGAGACACGGCCCAGACUCCUACGGGAGGCAGCAGUGGGGAAUCUUGCGCAAUGGGCGAAAGCCUGACGCAGCGACGCCGCGUGAGGGA